rnacentral:ncRNA from 1 species
UAUCUGGUUGAUUCUGCCAGUAGUCAUAUGCUUGUCUCAAAGAUUAAGCCAUGCAUGUCUAAGUAUAAGCACUCUUUUACUGUGAAACUGCGAAUGGCUCAUUAAAUCAGUUAUCGUUUAUUUGAUAGUACCCUACUACAUGGAUACCUGUGGUAAUUCUAGAGCUAUACAUGCGCAAACCCCGACUUCGGA